rnacentral:rRNA from 1 species
AGUGAACGCUGGCGGUAGGCCUAACACAUGCAAGUCGAACGGCAGCACAGUAAGAGCUUGCUCUUACGGGUGGCGAGUGGCGGACGGGUCAGGAAUACAUCGGAAUCUACUUUUUCGUGGGGGAUAACGUAGGGAAACUUACGCUAAUACCGCAUACGACCUACGGGUGAAAGCAGGGGAUCUUCGGACCUUGCGCGAUUGAAUGAGCCGAUGUCGGAUUAGCUAGUUGGCGGGGUAAAGGCCCACCAAGGCGACGAUCCGUAGCUGGUCUGAGAGGAUGAUCAGCCACACUGGAACUGAGACACGGUCCAGACUCCUACGGGAGGCAGCAGUGGGGAAUAUUGGACAAUGGGCGCAAGCCUGAUCCAGCCAUACCGCGUGGGUGAAGAAGGCCUUCGGGUUGUAAAGCCCUUUUGUUGGGAAAGAAAAGCAGCAGGUUAAUACCCCGCUGUUCUGACGGUACCCAAAGAAUAAGCACCGGCUAACUUCGUG